ACAGGCAGGAGGAGCAGGUGCUGGAAACCCGAUGGGCGUGCGGAUUUGGGGCACACUAGGUGGCGGGCCCGGAAACUGGAAGUUCCACGGCGGUCUUUUCCUCGGGUCUCUUCGUCCCGGAGCCGCUGUCGUGUGCCUCAUUUUUCCCGGUUGUGAAAUGAAGAUGCUGAUGCUUUUCACCCCUUCACCCGGUUAGCCUGCUUGACUGCGCAGCCCCUGUUCUUAGCCUCCACCCCAUGCUGCUGAGUUUGCCGCCUUCUUCUUCUUUACUCUUUUCCUCUCUGUGUCUUUUCCUCCCUGACUUAAACAACUUUUUUUUUUCUUAUAAAAUACAGGGUCUCGUUGUGUCGCCCAGGCUGGAGUGCGGUGGAGCAAUUGCAGCUCACUGCAGCCUCCACCUCCUGGGCUCAAGCAAUCCUCCCAUCUCAGCCUCCCGAGUAGCUGGGACUACAGGUGCAUGCCACCAUGCCCGGCGAAUUUUCUUUUCUUUUCUUUUCUUUCUUUCUUUCUUUUUUUUUCUCUCUCUCUGUCUUGCUUUCUUUCUUUUUUUUUGAGACGGAAUCGCACUCUGUUGCCCAGGCUGGAGGGAAGUGGCACGAUCUUGGCCCACUGCAACCUCCGCCUCCCAGGUUGAAGCGAUUCUCCUGCCUCAGCCUCCCGAGUAGCUGGGAUUACAGGCGCGCAUCACCACGCCCGCCUAAUUUGUGUAUUUUUAGUAGAGAUGGGGUUUCACCACGUUGGCCAGGCUGGUCUCGAACUCCUGACCUCAGAAGAUUCGCCUGCCUCGGCCUCCCAAAGUGCUGGGAUUACAGGCGUGAGCCAUCGCGCCCGACCUAUUUCUGAUUUUUUAUUUUCUUUAGAGACCGGGUCUCACUAUGUCGCCCGGGCUGGUCUCGAACUCUUGACCUUAAGCUCUCCCUCCAUCUCGGCUUCCCAAAGCGCUAAGAUUACAGGCGCAAGCCACCCCCUCGGUUCUCCCUGACUUUUUAAUUUGUAUCCUCUCCAGAAGGACCUGGCUAGUUCUUUUGGCUUCCCAGAGAGAAAUUUUUUCCUUGAAGCAGAGAAUGGAAACCUCCAUCUUAAUCCACAAAUACUGAAAUUAAACAUCUAGGGAGGUGCCCCAGAAACGCUAAGCAUUUAGAAGUUAGCAGUUCAGAUUCUGGGGAGUCAAAGAGACCUGAGCUCAAAUUCAGACUUUGCCAUUUACUCUCCGUGUCACCUUGGGCACGUUACUCCUAGCCUCACUUUCCCCACUUGUAAAAUGGGGACAAACAGCCUACCUUGCUUUUGGCAUCCAGUUCAGGAUUUGCAGAAGGCUUGAUGCUUCAAGAUCUGACCUCCUCUGUGACGUGUAUUGCUCUUGGAGGCAGGGCUAGGUGGUGGUUGUGGGGUGUCACUGUUGGGAGUCACACAGACCUGGGUUCAAAUCCCAGUUCUGCCCCUUGCAAACUGAAUCACAUUCAGCAAGUGACUUGAUCUUGUUGAUCAUCUGUCUAGGCUUUUCUGUAAACUGUGCACAGUGUGAUGAUAUUACCACUUCACAAGGUUUUAUGUGAGGGUGAAAUGAGAUUCUAUACAUCUGGCACAGAGCAAACUAUCUAUCUAUCUAUCUAUCUAUCUAUCUAUCUAUCUAUCUAUCACCUAUCUAUCUUUUUUGAAAUAGGAUCUCACUCUGUUGCCCAGGCUGGAGUGCAGUGGCAUGAUCUUGGCUCACUGCAACCUCCAUGUCCUGGGUUUAAGUGAUCCUCCCAUCUCAGCUUCCCUAGUAGCUGGGACUACAGGCACACACAGGCUAAUUGUUUUUUUGUUUGUUUGUUUGUUUUUGAGACAGAGUCUUGCUCUGUCACCCAGGCUGGAGUGCAGUGGUGUGAUCUUGGCUCACUGCAAUCUCUACCUUCUGGGUUCAAGCGAUUCUCCUGCGUCAGCCUCCUGAGUAGCUGGGAUUACAGGCAUGUGCCACUGCACCCGGCUAAUUUUUUUGUAUUUUUAAUAGACACGGGGUUUCAUUCUGUUGGCCAGGCUGGUCUUCAACUCCUGACCUCAAGUGGUCCACCUGCC
rnacentral:lncRNA from 1 species